GAGCGUGAUGAUGAGCUAAAUGUCGCCCCAGGCUUACGAUCCCUUCUACGAUCAAUGGUGAUCGACAUUUCUAUCUGACUC
rnacentral:snoRNA from 1 species